rnacentral:misc_RNA from 1 species
UCUGCGUUUCGCGCAGCGGUCUCGCUAGAAAGAUGCAACUAGCGACGAGGGUUGCGCUCGUUGCGGGACUUAACCCAACAUCUCACGAUACGAGCUGACGACAGCCAUGCAGCACCUGUGCACGCGUCCCGAAGGAGGCCCUGGCUUUCACCAGGCUUGCACGUGCAUGUCAAGUCCAGGUAAGGUUCUUCGCGUUGCAUCGAAUUAAGCCACAUGCUCCGCUGCUUGUGCGGGCCCCCGUCAAUUCCUUUGAGUUUUAGCCUUGCGGCCGUACUCCCCAGGCGGGGCGCUUAAUGCGUUAGCUGCGGCACGGAGGACGUGGAAUGUCCCCCACACCUAGCGCCCAACGUUUACGGCGUGGACUAC